UCCUUGAUAGCUCAGUUGGUAAAGAAUCUGCCUGCAAUGAAGGAGAUCCAGGUUCAAUUCCUGGGUUGGGAA
rnacentral:tRNA from 1 species